GCCUGGCCGGCUCAAUUGGUAGAGUGUGUGACUUCUGAUCUUGGGAUUGUGGGUUUGAGCCCCACAUUGGGUA
rnacentral:tRNA from 1 species